rnacentral:rRNA from 1 species
AGACCCGAAACCCGGUGAUCUAGCCAUGGGCAGGUUGAAGGUUGGGUAACACUAACUGGAGGACCGAACCGACUAAUGUUGAAAAAUUAGCGGAUGACCUGUGGCUGGGGGUGAAAGGCCAAUCAAACCGGGAGAUAGCUGGUUCUCCCCGAAAGCUAUUUAGGUAGCGCCUCGUGAAUUCAUCUCCGGGGGUAGAGCACUGUUUCGGCUAGGGGGCCAUCCCGGCUUACCAACCCGAUGCAAACUGCGAAUACCGGAGAAUGUUAUCACGGGAGACACACGGCGGGUGCUAACGUCCGUCGUGAAGAGGGAAACAACCCAGACCGCCAGCUAAGGUCCCAAAGUCAUGGUUAAGUGGGAAACGAUGUGGGAAGGCCCAGACAGCCAGGAUGUUGGCUUAGAAGCAGCCAUCAUUUAAAGAAAGCGUAAUAGCUCACUGGUCGAGUCGGCCUGCGCGGAAGAUGUAACGGGGCUAAACCAUGCACCGAAGCUGCGGCAGCGAACGUAUCACCCAAGACAACUUUACGGAGUUGACGAUUGACGGAGCGAAGCGACGUCAAAGCGUUCAUUAAAGUCGAGUUGGCUUAGGGAUACGUUCGUUGGGUAGGGGAGCGUUCUGUAAGCCUGUGAAGGUGGCCUGUGAGGGUUGCUGGAGGUAUCAGAAGUGCGAAUGCUGACAUAAGUAACGAUAAAGCGGGUGAAAAGCCCGCUCGCCGGAAGACCAAGGGUUCCUGUCCAACGUUAAUCGGGGCAGGGUGAGUCGACCCCUAAGGCGAGGCCGAAAGGCGUAGUCGAUGGGAAACGGGUUAAUAUUCCCGUACUUGGUGUUACUGCGAAGGGGGGACGGAGAAGGCUAUGUUGGCCGGGCGACGGUUGUCCCGGUUUAAGCGUGUAGGUGUGUGUUCCAGGUAAAUCC